rnacentral:rRNA from 1 species
UACGUAGGGCGCAAGCGUUAUCCGGAAUUAUUGGGCGUAAAGAGCUCGUAGGCGGUUUGUCGCGUCUGCCGUGAAAGUCCGGGGCUCAACUCCGGAUCUGCGGUGGGUACGGGCAGACUAGAGUGAUGUAGGGGAGACUGGAAUUCCUGGUGUAGCGGUGAAAUGCGCAGAUAUCAGGAGGAACACCGAUGGCGAAGGCAGGUCUCUGGGCCACUACUGACGCUGAGGAGCGGAAGCGUGGGGAGCAAACAGG